ACGCCAGGUCUGCAAGUCCUGUCAGCUUUGCCUUUCGUCCGAGCCACUCAGUCUGCUCGGGUCUGUCUGCCCGAGCCCUUCUGCGAGGUGCCUCAGUCUGCUCAGGACCUCUUGUCCACGUACAAGAUCCGUCCGACCUUCUCAAUCUGUUUGGAACCCUCUGUCCGAGCUCCUCUGCGAAACGCCCUUCGUCCGAGCUCCUCUGUCUGCUCGGAGCCCCUUCGCGACGCGUCAUCCUUCCGAGUCCCUUCUCCCCUCAGGUCGUCGGCUCGGAACCUUCCACCCGAGUCCCUUCUCCCCUCUGGUCGUCUGCUCGUAGCCUCCCGCCCGAGCCACUUCUUCUCUCUGGUCGUCUGCUCGGAAUCCCCGACCUUCCUCUGUCUCGGCCCGUAGCAAAUAUUCUUACACCUCUCUCUAUCUCUCCGCGCGUUCAAUCUCCCCUGUUUCUUUCACCUACGCCUCUCUCGAUUUUCUUCUUGCUUAUUUUCUUGGUGGAGUUGGAGUUGGUGCUGGUACUGGUGCUGGUGUUAUGGUCUACAUCUCAAAUACUUGGCUUAGACUACAGAUCUGUGCUCCCUUUUGCUGCUUAGUUGAUCAGAAAUUGUUGUUAUGGAUGGUAAGAUGGAGAAUGGCAGUGUGAAGAAGAUAAUUUCACCUUGUGAUGUUGAGGCUCUGAAGAAAUGCUUGGAGGAAAACAAAGGGGACUACGUGAAAUGCCAAUCUCAAAUUGAAGCAUUUAAGUCUUCAUGUUCUUUGAAGAAAUCGAGUUUGUCAUCUUCUGAAUCCCCACCAAAGGUCAAGAAUGCUUGAAGGCGGGACCUGACAAUGGCUGGCCGACCACUGCUGAGUCAAAUAUGUCUAUAAGUACGAUGGGCCCGCCGUACCCUGGUUCAGAGUGCCAGGUGGACGUCUACAACUCUAUACUAAAAGCCACACCGACUAUCCAUCUCUCACCCCCUCGUGAGGUGGUUAGCACAAGUCUGAAUAUAGAUAUCUGGUCUAUAUAGCUACGGUACCGAGCUCCUGAACUGAACUAAACUAACAUCCGGGUUCUGGUAACGUAUAAUACAUAAUCAUAUAGCAUUUUCAUAAUUGCAUAAAUAUGGCUUUGCGCCAAAUCUUUCAUAUAUCACGGCCUUGCGCCGAACAUUUUAUAAAUUACGGCCUUGCGCCGAACAUAUCAUACACGUCAUUAUGAAAAUAAAUCAUUUCUCAUGUAUUUCAACAUUGUAAUGUAUUGUACUCUUUCCUAAUUUCUCAAAACGUAUUCCAUUCGUAUAUUUGUCAUAUCAUGAUAUUCUUUCAUGUAAAAUAAUAUUCAUGCCACACAUUUGCUGUAUAAAACCAUACAUUGUAUUCUAAAAUCACAGUCUGGCAUCUCAUACAUAUAUAUACAUUUCAACAUAAUGAUAGUAUUUUCUCAAA